rnacentral:tRNA from 1 species
GCCUUUGUGGUGCAGUGGUCAGUACGCUCGACGCGUAUUCGAGAGGUUCGGGGUUCGAAUCCUGGCGAAAGCG